AAUCAACGCUGGCGGCGUGCCUCAGACAUGCAAGUCGAACGAUUAAAGCUCUCUUCGGAGAGUGCAUAAAGUGGCGCACGGGUGAGUAACACGUAAGUAAUCUACCUUCGAGUGGGGAAUAACGUCCGGAAACGGACGCUAAUACCGCAUAAUGCAGCGGCAUCGCAAGAUGACAGUUGUUAAAGAUUUAUCGCUUGAAGAGGAGCUUGCGGCAGAUUAGCUAGUUGGUAAGGUAAUGGCUUACCAAGGCUACGAUCUGUAACCGGUCUAAGAGGACGGUCGGUCACACUGACACUGAAUAACGGGUCAGACUCCUACGGGAGGCAGCAGUCGGGAAUUUUGGGCAAUGGGCGAAAGCCUGACCCAGCAACGCCGCGCGAAGGAUGAAGUAUUUCGGUAUGUAAACUUCGAAAGAAUGGGAAGAAUAAAUGACGGUACCAUUUAUAAGGUCCGGCUAACUACGU
rnacentral:rRNA from 1 species